AAGCCCAAAACCUGGAGCCCACUUCACUAUUCGCGCCUUUCCCCCAAACUGCCGCACCCUCCCUCCCGCCGGCGCCGCCACUUCGCUGCCGGCCGUUUCCUCGAACCCGUCAGAAAUUCUCCUAACAUGGGCAGCUCCUCCGCUGACGGCGCGAGGCUACCGCCGUCGAGGGCGGGGAGCCGCCUCUGCGUGCGGUGCGGCGAGCGGAAGGCCGCGCUGAAGCGACCCAAAACCCUAGAGCAGAUCUGUAGGGAAUGCUUCUACAUCGUCUUUGAGGACGAAAUUCAUCAAACUAUUGUUGACAACACUCUGUUUAAAGCUGGUGAACGUGUGGCAAUCGGAGCUUCUGGGGGAAAAGAUUCAACUGUGCUUGCAUAUGUGAUAUCGGAGUUAAACCGUCGUCACAACUAUGGUCUUGAUCUGUUCCUUCUAUCAGUCGAUGAAGGAAUCACAGGAUAUAGAGAUGACUCGCUAGAAACUGUUAAAAGGAAUGAAAUACAGUAUGGCCUACCGCUGAAGAUAGUUUCCUAUAAAGAUCUCUAUGGCUGGACAAUGGAUGAUAUUGUGAAAGCAAUUGGUCUGAAAAACAAUUGUACUUUCUGUGGAGUUUUUCGACGUCAGGCACUAGACAGAGGUGCUGCUCUCCUGAAAGCUGAUAAGAUUGUAACUGGCCAUAAUGCAGAUGACAUUGCAGAAACAGUCUUGCUAAACAUUCUGCGUGGUGAUAUUGCAAGGUUAAGUAGAUGUACAUUCAUAACUACUGGUGAAGACGGGCCAAUCCCAAGAUGCAAGCCUUUCAAAUACACCUACGAGAAGGAGAUUGUCAUGUAUGCAUACUUCAAAAAGCUGGACUACUUUUCCACAGAAUGUAAUACCUGGUUCUUUGGACACUCUGUUCUUGUCAUUUCCUCUGCAAUUGAAACAUACCACUUUAUUCCGAUAUCCAAAGAUGUUAGAAUGGCAUCUAUUCACCAAAUGCAUACCGUGGUUUUGCUCGUGAAUUUAUUAAAGAUUUAGAAAGAAUGAGGCCUAGAUCUAUAUUGGACAUCAUAAAAUCUGGUGAAAAUUUUAGAAUCUCCACAACUACACGGAUGCCAGAGCAAGGAACGUGUGAACGCUGUGGCUACAUUUCUAGUCAGAAACUAUGCAAAGCAUGCGUCUUGCUGGAUGGAUUAAAUCGGGGCUUGCCAAAACUAGGCAUUGGAAGGACUAAAGCGGGUCCUGGAGCUGAGAGGAAUACAUCGAGGCUACAAGGGAAGCACGGGAACUUCGACUUCUAGAUCUUAACUGCAAUUUUUCUCAAAAAGGCUGUAAUGAAAUGUAAUGUAAUUUAUAUCGUUGUUUUACUGGUCACUGAUUAUUUGAUCAAUCCGAUUGUUGUGACUAUUCAUUAUUGUCUGACUGCAGCCGUGAACCACAAAAACAGUAGUUCCCUUA